rnacentral:rRNA from 1 species
AGUGAACGCUGGCGGUAGGCCUAACACAUGCAAGUCGAACGGCAGCACAGUAAGAGCUUGCUCUUACGGGUGGCGAGUGGCGGACGGGUGAGGAAUACAUCGGAAUCUACUUUUUCGUGGGGGAUAACGUAGGGAAACUUACGCUAAUACCGCAUACGACCUACGGGUGAAAGCAGGGGAUCUUCAGACCUUGCGCGAUUGAAUGAGCCGAUGUCGGAUUAGCUAGUUGGCGGGGUAAAGGCCCACCAAGGCGACGAUCCGUAGCUGGUCUGAGAGGAUGAUCAGCCACACUGGAACUGAGACACGGUCCAGACUCCUACGGGAGGCAGCCGUGGGGAAUAUUGGACAAUGGGCGCAAGCCUGAUCCAGCCAUACCGCGUGGGUGAAGAAGGCCUUCUGGUUGUAAAGCCCUUUUGUUGGGAAAGAAAAGCAGCAGGUUAAUACCCCGCUGUUCUGACGGUACCCAAAGAAUAAGCACCGGCUAACUUCGUG